AUUGAACGCUGGCGGUAUGCUUAACACAUGCAAGUCGAACGGGCGCUUUCGGGCGUCAGUGGCGAACGGCUGAGUAACACGUGGGUGACCUGCCUUCGAGCGGGGGAUAACUGCCCGAAAGGGUGGCUAAUACCGCAGAUGUCGUUUCUUCGGUGAGGCGACUAAACCGUUCAGGGUUCGAAGAGGGGCCUGCGUCCGAUUAGCUAGUUGGUGGGGUGAAGGCCUACCAAGGCGACGAUCGGUAGCUGGUCUGAGAGGAUGAUCAGCCAGACUGGGACUGCGAGACGGCCCAGACUCCUACGGGAGGCAGCAGUUAGGAAUUUUGGGCAAUGGGCGGAAGCCUGACCCAGCAACGCCGCGUGGGUGACGAAGGCCCUCGGGUCGUAAAGCCCUUUUCCCAGGGAAGAUAGUGACGGUACCUGGGGAAUCAGCCCCGGCUAACUACGUG
rnacentral:rRNA from 1 species